rnacentral:rRNA from 1 species
AUUGAACGCUGGCGGCAGGCCUAACACAUGCAAGUCGAGCGGAUGAAGGGAGCUUGCUCCUGGAUUCAGCGGCGGACGGGUGAGUAAUGCCUAGGAAUCUGCCUGGUAGUGGGGGAUAACGUCCGGAAACGGGCGCUAAUACCGCAUACGUCCUGAGGGAGAAAGUGGGGGAUCUUCGGACCUCACGCUAUCAGAUGAGCCUAGGUCGGAUUAGCUAGUUGGUGGGGUAAAGGCCUACCAAGGCGACGAUCCGUAACUGGUCUGAGAGGACGAUCAGUCACACUGGAACUGAGACACGGUCCAGAGUCCUACGGGAGGCAGCAGUGGGGAAUAUUGGACAAUGGGCGAAAGCCUGAUCCAGCCAUGCCGCGUGGGUGAAGAAGGGCUUCGGAUGGUAAAGCACUUUAAGUUGGGAGGAAGGGCAGUAAGUUAAUACCUUGCUGUUUGGACGUUACCAACAGAAUAAGCACCGGCUAACUUCGU